GUAUAUUAAUAAAAAAAAUUUAGAUACAAUCUGGGCUAUCUGAAGGGAAACAGUUUCCCUUCCUUUCAAUUGGUAUCAGAGCUAGGUUGAAAUACAUGCAUACAUAUCUAAAUUUUUUAGGAUUAAUUAUAUAUUAUAUGCAAUUGAAAUUUUAUAUUAAAUAUUAAAUUUGAUUUAAAUUUAUUUAUAUAAAAUUUUUGAUAUGAUUUUGAUU
rnacentral:lncRNA from 1 species